AGAGUUUGAUCCUGGCUCAGGACGAACGCUGGCGGCGUGCUUAACACAUGCAAGUCGAACGGUAAGGCCCUUUCGGGGGUACACGAGUGGCGAACGGGUGAGUAACACGUGGGUAAUCUGCCCUGCACUUCGGGAUAAGCCUGGGAAACCGGGUCUAAUACCGGAUAUGAGCUCCUGCCGCAUGGUGGGGGUUGGAAAGUUUUUCGGUGCAGGAUGAGUCCGCGGCCUAUCAGCUUGUUGGUGGGGUAAUGGCCUACCAAGGCGACGACGGGUAGCCGGCCUGAGAGGGUGAUCGGCCACACUGGGACUGAGACACGGCCCAGACUCCUACGGGAGGCAGCAGUAGGGAAUCUUCCGCAAUGGACGAAAGUCUGACGGAGCAACGCCGCGUGAGUGAUGAAGGUUUUCGGAUCGUAAAGCUCUGUUGUUAGGGAAGAACAAGUGCCGUUUGAAUAAGGCGGCACCUUGACGGUACCUAACCAGAAAGCCACGGCUAACUACGUGCCAGCAGCCGCGGUAAUACGUAGGUGGCAAGCGUUGUCCGGAAUUAUUGGGCGUAAAGCGCGCGCAGGCGGGUCUCUUAAGUCUGAUGUGAAAGCCCACGGCUCAACCGUGGAGGGUCAUUGGAAACUGGGAGACUUGANUACAGAANAGGAGAGUGNAAUUCCACGUGUANCGGUGAAAUGCGUAGAUAUGUGGANGAACNNCAGUGGCNNAGGCGACUCUCUGGGUCUGNNACUGACGCUGAGGCGCGAAAGCGUG
rnacentral:rRNA from 1 species